rnacentral:rRNA from 1 species
GCAUGCUUACAACAUAUCAUUAAUGCACCAGAUCCCAUUAGAACUUCACAGUUGAGCGCACUCGGGCUAGAGUAGUACUGGGAUGGGUGACCACUCGAGAAUCCCUAGUGUUUUACAUGCC